GACAGUUCGUUGUGUGUGUGAAUUGUGGCCCCGACGUUUACACGAACGAGUUCUAUCGAUUGUAAGUCGAUAGUCGCUCUAUGGUUCUUCCGGUAAAGGUCCAUGUGUUUGUAACACGUUGUUCAAUAGUUGGGCGUAGGAAAGGGUGUUGAAGAUAUUUAUUUGGUGACUGAAAAUGGCGAAGUCGAAGAACCACACGAAUCAUAAUCAAAGUA